rnacentral:rRNA from 1 species
ACACUCCUGCGGGAGGCAGCAGUGGGGAAUUUUGGACAAUGGGCGAAAGCCUGAUCCAGCAAUGCCGCGUGAGUGAAGAAGGCCUUCGGGUUGUAAAGCUCUUUUGUCAGGGAAGAAACGGUGAAAGCUAAUAUCUUUUGCUAAUGACGGUACCUGAAGAAUAAGCACCGGCUAACUACGUGCCAGCAGCCGCGGUAAUACGUAGGGUGCAAGCGUUAAUCGGAAUUACUGGGCGUAAAGCGUGCGCAGGCGGUUUUGUAAGUCUGAUGUGAAAUCCCCGGGCUCAACCUGGGAAUUGCAUUGGAGACUGCAAGGCUAGAAUCUGGCAGAGGGGGGUAGAAUUCCACGUGUAGCAGUGAAAUGCGUAGAUAUGUGGAGGAACACCGAUGGCGAAGGCAGCCCCCUGGGUCAAGAUUGACGCUGAUGCACGAAAGCGUGGGGAGCAAACAGGAUUAGAAACCCGGGUAGUCCCAUGAU